CUGGAAUCGCUAGUAAUCGCGGAUCAGAAUGCCGCGGUGAAUACGUUCCCGGGUCUUGUACACACCGCCCGUCACACCAUGGGAGUCGGAAAUGCCCGAAGUCUGUGACCUAACCGAGAGGGAGGAGCAGCCGAAGGCAGGUCUGAUGACUGGGGUGAAGUCGUAACAAGGUAAC
rnacentral:rRNA from 1 species